CACAUGCGUGGUGGGCUAAAGUUAACAAAAUAAAAACGGCUGUCUUUUUUUUUCUCGUCAAGCCACCGCAUCGAUCAUGAUCGAAGCAUAGAGCACCCCUGCUAUAGUCUAUCCUACAGUUAACAAAUAUACAAUAGUUUUGCUGAAAAUCAUGUUUAUCAUGUAUUAGAGCCUCUUCCCACUUCACAGCCUUAAUGGAACAUUCAGCAAACCCUCAUAAGAAUUCACCUUCUGCUCUGUCAAUUCUUUACCCCUGAACUCUACAAUGGCACACAAUUCUACUGUCCUCUCGUGUCUUGACACGUUACAAUUUAUUUAUUAUUUCAGCAACCUUGAAUGUCUUGAGCUUCAUCUCCUCCUCACAGCGGUAUUAUGGCAAGUCUCUACCCUAAGGAAAUGACUCUUUCACCAUUCCUGAGAUUGGCCUGUUGACAGUGGAACAGGCAAUUGCAGACUAUGCUGUCAUGAUCAGCGUGUUGAAACGUCAGAUGGCAGCCACAGAUAGUCCUGUCAUUGCUUUUGGUGGAAGUUCUGGUGGAAUGCUGUCUGUCUACAUGAGAAUAAAGUAUCCAAACCUUGUGGCUUGAGCUCUUGCUGCUAGUGCUCCCAUACUGUCAACUGCAGGGCUGGGGGAGCCUACACAGUUUUUUAGAGAUGUCACGACUGAUUUUGAGAACAUUUUUAGAUUGCACAAGUGCUGUUAAAGGAGCUUUUUAUCACCUGAAAGAAUUAUAGGAAUUGCAAGGUUGGUUGUGAAACCAUGCUGCGUGGAACUGAUCUGCUUGCUAACCUGAGGGAUACUGCAGCGAUUGUGUACAACUCAACUGGGUCGCUGACCUAUUUUGAUGUGUACCGUUUGUAUGUGGAGUGUGCCGAUCCCACUGGCUGUGGACGAGGCCAAGACAGCAUGGCCUGGGACUACCAGCCCUUUUCAGUGCUAGCAACAUUAUUUUCUCCAAUGGUGAUCUGGACCCGUGGGCAAAUGGAGGCGUGCGGAAGUCUUUGAGUUCAUCAUUGAUAGCCGUCAACAUUGCUGAGGGAGCCCAUCAUCUAGAUUUAAGAGGGUCAAAUGAUGCGGAUCCAUCUUCAGUCAUUGAAGCCAGGAAGACUGAAGCAGACCUUAUUACACAGUGGGUGGAGAUGGCGAGGAAACAAAUACAACAAUUGCCCUGAUUGUUUUAGUUUUCCUGUCUUGUACACAUUUCUUAAAUAGAUUUUCAAUGUAUGUUUGUAUGCUGCAUUCCAGUUACACAAUGAGAAAACUCAGCUGAAAACGUUACGGGGCCCAUUCAAAAUAAAAUCUUAAAAAUAUAAAUAUGCGCUGCAAGAAUUCUACCCAACGCUAGUGAUAUGGGACUGUCAUUGUAUCUGAUUUUAGUGAUAUUAAAAACGAUCUCGCUGUUAUCACUCAUUCAUUCAAUCCACUUCUGAGAUACAUUAAGCUAUCCCAUGAUGCCACCUGAGAGUACAUGAAGCAUGUCCAAAGAAAAUAUCUCCAAACGUGGCUGGUAUGACCUUUAUUUCAAUUGGACAAAAAGAAUAAGAAAAAUAUCGAGUGAUAAUA